GCCUGGCUGGCUCAGUUGGUAGAGCAUGCAACUCUUGAUCUCACGGUCAUGGGUUCAAGCCCCAUGUUGGCCA
rnacentral:tRNA from 1 species